CAUUUACCGUGUUGGUCGGUUUUAGCGCGCCUCCUAACUUAACGUUCGAAUUACAAAAUCCCUUGACACUGGCCGUGAAAAUGUGCAUAAAAUUAAAAAGUUAGACCAUAUACAGUUGUGCCAAACAAUGGGAUUGAGUGAACGAUUUUCAUACGCGUUUUGGCGGCAAACUUGGAUGUCAGUGAGUUUGACAGAUGAACCUCCCGCGCUUUUCGUUCAGGUGCGUUCGAACACACUUUGAUAAUGUUUGAUUAAUGAUUGCCUGAUUCAAGACGUUUUACAAAUUUAUUAUAAAAAACUUGAACAAAAUCCACGAAAUAUAAAUACGAGAACAAUAAAUCAGUUUAACUAAAGAUUUGUGUCACAAAAUAAACUACGUUGGCCCAGAUUUGUUGAUUCGUGAAUUAUUUCAACGUUAAACAUCAAAGCUGUACAACACGAAGUUGUUUCAAUGUAUUGAUAAAAUUAUGUGAUAUAUUUGGGUUUAGAAUAAAGAAUAUUGUUAAAAAAUCGUGGUAUGGGCGUCAGAUAUGAUGAGUGCGAUGGGAUGUUCGCACGUGGCGGCGUGUAGAGACAAUUCUAUAGAGUGACGUAUUAAUUAAUGUUCUCCCGUGCUUUGACAAAUUGCUAUUGUGAUAAAUAUAGUGUGACAUGGACGUAUUCCUGUUAAUCUUCAAAGGGUUGAAAAUUGAUGAUGUAAGGGCAAACGGACAGUAAGCUGAUGCAACGGACAAAUAUUGCAGUACCAGAUGGCUUUCAGUUGUCGUAGGUACUCGCUAGAUGGCGAAGCUUGCGCGCUUU